rnacentral:rRNA from 1 species
AGCGAACGCUGGCGGCAGGCCUAACACAUGCAAGUCGAACGAACAUUUCUGUUUUAGUGGCGUACGGGUGCGUAACACGUGGGAUCGUGUCUUUAGGUUCGGCAUACCUCAGGGAAAUUUGUGCUAAUACCGAAUGUGCCCUUCGGGGGAAAGAUUUAUCGCCUUUAGUGCGGCCCGCGUCUGCUUCGCUAGUUGGUUCAGGUAAUGUCUCACCAAGGCGACGAUCAGUAGCUGGUCUGAGAGGAAAGACAGCCAAAUUGGCACAGAGACACGGCCAAAAAGCCUACGAGAAGAAGGAGUGCCAAAUGGUGCGUAAUCGACGGAAGCAUGACGGAGUCCUGCGGGGUGAAUGUUGAAAGGAUUAGGAAUGAAAAAUUAUUUCAACGGGGGAGAUAAUGACGGUACCCAGAGAAGAAGCCCCGGCUAACUUCGUG